rnacentral:rRNA from 1 species
UGUUUCGGCUAGGGGGCCAUCCCGGCUUACCAACCCGAUGCAAACUGCGAAUACCGGAGAAUGUUAUCACGGGAGACACACGGCGGGUGCUAACGUCCGUCGUGAAGAGGGAAACAACCCAGACCGCCAGCUAAGGUCCCAAAGUCAUGGUUAAGUGGGAAACGAUGUGGGAAGGCCCAGACAGCCAGGAUGUUGGCUUAGAAGCAGCCAUCAUUUAAAGAAAGCGUAAUAGCUCACUGGUCGAGUCGGCCUGCGCGGAAGAUGUAACGGGGCUAAACCAUGCACCGAAGCUGCGGCAGCGACACUUUAGUGUUGUUGGGUAGGGGAGCGUUCUGUAAGCCGUUGAAGGUGUCCUGUGAGGGGGGCUGGAGGUAUCAGAAGUGCGAAUGCUGACAUAAGUAACGAUAAAGCGGGUGAAAAGCCCGCUCGCCGGAAGACCAAGGGUUCCUGUCCAACGUUAAUCGGGGCAGGGUGAGUCGACCCCUAAGGCGAGGCCGAAAGGCGUAGUCGAUGGGAAACGGGUUAAUAUUCCCGUACUUGGUGUUACUGCGAAGGGGGGACGGAGAAGGCUAUGUUGGCCGGGCGACGGUAGUCCCGGUUUAAGCGUGUAGGUGUGUGUUCCAGGCAAAUCCGGUUCACUUUAACACUGAGGCGUGAUGACGAGGCACCACGGUGCUGAAGCAACAAAUGCCCUGCUUCCAGGAAAAGCCUCUAAGCAUCAGGUAACAUCAAAUCGUACCCCAAACCGACACAGGUGGUCAGGUAGAGAAUACCAAGGCGCUUGAGAGAACUCGGGUGAAGGAACUAGGCAAAAUGGUGCCGUAACUUCGGGAGAAGGCACGCUGACACGUAGGUGAAGUGAUUUACUCAUGGAGCUGAAGUCAGUCGAAGAUACCAGCUGGCUGCAACUGUUUAUUAAAAACACAGCACUGUGCAAACACGAAAGUGGACGUAUACGGUGUGACGCCUGCCCGGUGCCGGAAGGUUAAUUGAUGGGGUCAGCGCAAGCGAAGCUCCUGAUCGAAGCCCCGGUAAACGGCGGCCGUAACUAUAACGGUCCUAAGGUAGCGAAAUUCCUUGUCGGGUAAGUUCCGACCUGCACGAAUGGCGUAAUGAUGGCCAGGCUGUCUCCACCCGAGACUCAGUGAAAUUGAACUCGCUGUGAAGAUGCAGUGUACCCGCGGCAAGACGGAAAGACCCCGUGAACCUUUACUAUAGCUUGACACUGAACAUUGAGCCUUGAUGUGUAGGAUAGGUGGGAGGCUUUGAAGCGUGGACGCCAGUCUGCGUGGAGCCGACCUUGAAAUACCACCCUUUAAUGUUUGAUGUUCUAACGUGGACCCGUAAUCCGGGUUGCGGACAGUGUCUGGUGGGUAGUUUGACUGGGGCGGUCUCCUCCUAAAGAGUAACGGAGGAGCACGAAGGUUGGCUAAUCCUGGUCGGACAUCAGGAGGUUAGUGCAAUGGCAUAAGCCAGCUUGACUGCGAGCGUGACGGCGCGAGCAGGUGCGAAAGCAGGUCAUAGUGAUCCGGUGGUUCUGAAUGGAAGGGCCAUCGCUCAACGGAUAAAAGGUACUCCGGGGAUAACAGGCUGAUACCGCCCAAGAGUUCAUAUCGACGGCGGUGUUUGGCACCUCGAUGUCGGCUCAUCACAUCCUGGGGCUGAAGUAGGUCCCAAGGGUAUGGCUGUUCGCCAUUUAAAGUGGUACGCGAGCUGGGUUUAGAACGUCGUGAGACAGUUCGGUCCCUAUCUGCCGUGGGCGCUGGAAGAUUGAGGGGGGCUGCUCCUAGUACGAGAGGACCGGAGUGGACGCAUCACUGGUGUUCGGGUUGUCAUGCCAAUGGCACUGCCCGGUAGCUAAAUGCGGAAAAGAUAAGUGCUGAAAGCAUCUAAGCACGAAACUUGCCCCGAGAUGAGUCUUCCCUGAGACUUUGAGUCUCCUGAAGGAACGUUAAAGACGAUGACGUUGAUAGGCCGGGUGUGUAAGCGCAGCGAUGCGUUGAGCUAACCGGUACUAAUGAACCGUGAGGCUUAACCUUACAACGCCGAAGCUGUU